rnacentral:rRNA from 1 species
UCGUCAGCUCGUGUCGUGAGAUGUUGGUUAAGUCCCGCAACGAGCGCAACCCUUGUCAUUAGUUGCUACAUUCAGUUGGGCACUCUAAUGAGACUGCCGGUGACAAACCGAAGGAAGUGGGGAUGACGUCAAGUCCUCAUGGCCCUUAUAGGUGGGGCUACACACGUCAUACAAUGGAUGGUACAAAGGGUCGCCAACCCGCGAGGGGGGAGCCAAUCCCAUAAAGCCAUUCGUAGUCCGGAUCGCAGUCUGCAACUCGACUGCGUGAAGUCGGAAUCGCUAGUAAUCGUGAAUCAGAAUGUCACGGUGAAUACGUUCCCGGGCCUU